GAUGAAGAACGUAGCGAAAUGCGAUAAAUAAUGUGAAUUGCAGAAUUCAGUGAAUCAUCGAGUCUUUGAACGCACAUUGCGCCCCCUGGUAUUCCGGGGGGCAUGCCUGUCCGAGCGUCAUUGCUGCCCUCAAGCACGGCUUGUGUGUUGGGCCCCCGUCCCCCCCUCCCGGGGGACGGGCCCGAAAGGCAGCGGCGGCACCGCGUCCGGUCCUCGAGCGUAUGGGGCUUUGUCACCCGCUCUGUAGGCCCGGCCGGUGCCUGCCGACCACCAUCAAUCUUUUUUCAGGUUGACCUCGGAUCAGGUAGGGAUACCCGCUGAACUUAAGCAUAUCAAUAAGCGGAGGA
rnacentral:misc_RNA from 1 species